CGCAUAUUGCGCCCUUUGGUAUUCCGAAGGGCAUGCCUGUUCGAACGUCAUUAUCACCUCUCAAGCCUGGCUUGCUGUUGGAUCUUGGUUAUAGUUUAGCUAUUACCUAUCUCAAAGAUAAUGACGGCGUCUAUGAGGACUCCAGUACACUGAGCAUUUUAUGCACGUACGAGGUAGAAUUCUAGGCCCGGUCUUUACCCAUUUUUAUCAAGGUUGACCUCGGAUCAGGUAGGAAUACCCGCUGAACUUAA
rnacentral:misc_RNA from 1 species